rnacentral:rRNA from 1 species
AGCGAACGCUGGCGGCAGGCCUAACACAUGCAAGUCGAACGGACCCUUCGGGGUUAGUGGCGGACGGGUGAGUAACACGUGGGAACGUGCCUUUAGGUUCGGAAUAGCUCCUGGAAACGGGUGGUAAUGCCGAAUGUGCCCUUCGGGGGAAAGAUUUACCGCCUUUAGAGCGGCCCGCGUCUGAUUAGCUUGUUGGUGGGGUAAUGGCCCACCAAGGCUACGAUCAGUAGCUGGUCUGAGAGGAUGACCAGCCACAUUGGGACUGAGACAUGGCCCAAACUCCUACGGGAGGCAGCAGUGGGGAAUCUUGCGCAAUGGGCGAAAGCCUGACGCAGCCAUGCCGCGUGUAUGAUGAAGGUCUUAGGAUUGUAAAAUACUUUCACCGGUGAAGAUAAUGACUGUAGCCGGAGAAGAAGCCCCGGCUAACUUCGUGCCAGCAGCCGCGGUAAUACGAAGGGGGCUAGCGUUGCUCGGAAUUACUGGGCGUAAAGGGAGCGUAGGCGGACAUUUAAGUC